UAGGGAAUCUUCGGCAAUGGACGAAAGUCUGACCGAGCAACGCCGCGUGAGUGAAGAAUGUUUUCGGAUCGUAAAACUCUGUUGUUAGAGAAGAACAAGGACGUUAGUAACUGAACGUCCCCUGACGGUAUCUAACCAGAAAGCCACGUCUAACUACGUGCCAGCCGCCGCGGUCAUACGUAAGUGGCAAGCGUUGUCCGGAUGUAUUGGGCGUAAAGCGAGCGCAGGGGGUUUCUUAAGUCUUAUGUGAAAGACCCCCGUUCAAUCGGGGAGGGACAUUGGAACCUGGGAGACCUGAGUGCAGAAGAGGCGAGUGGAAUUCCAUGUGUAGCGGUGAAAUGCGUAGAUAUAUGGGGGAAUACAAGUGGCGAAGGCGGAUCUCUUGUCUGUAAAUGACGAUAAGGCUAGAAAGCGUGGGGUGCAUACAGG
rnacentral:rRNA from 1 species